ACUUCAAAUACAGGACAUCUCUAUCUUUCAAUAAAUUUGAGCUGUACUUGAGUGCGAAACUGUCCCUUGCUACCAUGAAACUUAUAUUUUGCUUUAAAACAUAAAACAACAAUUCUUAAUUGUAAUUUCUUUUCAUCUUUAAAAAGGGUAUUGACAUCCCAAUAUUUAGUGGGAAGUUCCCAGGUAUCGUCCGCUAGUGACAUUCUGCUGGCAAAUCCAGGCAUGCGAUGGAAGGAUGCUUAUGUGAAGGACACAGGGACACCUGAUCCAAGAACUGUGGCAUUUCAUUCAGAGUGACAACCUGACAUUCAGUUGAUACGGGACCCGAUUAUUCAGAGAACUGCAGAUUUUAGUAAGCUGUUUUUGACAGAAGAUUUGGUUUUCUCCAUCUGUAUUGCCACCAACCAUUAUGCUGAGAUGGUCAUAUCUAGGGGGAAGGAUUGUCAUUAUGCUUCCCAAGGAAGUUCGCAUCCUCUCACUGAAGAGUAAUUGUACAGAUUUUUGUGCAUUAUCUUAUACAUGUUUGCUGUGAAGUUCCAGUCGAUAGACAGAUAUUGGUCAAUGCAUGCCCCUAUCGGAACAACCCAGUACAGUGUAUCAGGAAUGAUGUCUAGAAAUAAGUUUUAAAAGGUUGAAUAUAAGAACAUUUUGUUAAAUAUGAUGCAAGUACAUUUAAAUCUAGUGAUUGAAAGUUAGUACUUGAACAUUCGUAUACGUUGCACUUACAGAGGAAAAACGGGUAGUACUUUUUGAUAACAUUUGAUAAGGUGCUGUAACUCCUGUUGCUUAGCAACCAAAUAUAUUUGAAU